UACAGAGGGUGCAAGCGUUAAUCGGAUUUACUGGGCGUAAAGCGCGCGUAGGUGGCCAAUUAAGUCAAAUGUGAAAUCCCCGAGCUUAACUUGGGAAUUGCAUUCGAUACUGGUUGGCUAGAGUAUGGGAGAGGAUGGUAGAAUUCCAGGUGUAGCGGUGAAAUGCGUAGAGAUCUGGAGGAAUACCGAUGGCGAAGGCAGCCAUCUGGCCUAAUACUGACACUGAGGUGCGAAAGCAUGGGGAGCAAACAGGAUUAGAAACCCUAGUAGU
rnacentral:rRNA from 1 species